rnacentral:rRNA from 1 species
CCUACGGGUGGCAGCAGUGGGGAAUAUUGCGCAAUGGGCGAAAGCCUGACGCAGCGACGCCGCGUGAGGGAUGAAGGUCUUCGGAUCGUAAACCUCUGUCAGCAGGGAAGAACGGUCACUGUGCUAAUCAGCAGUGAAUUGACGGUACCUGCAAAGGAAGCACCGGCUAACUCCGUGCCAGCAGCCGCGGUAAUACGGAGGGUGCGAGCGUUAAUCGGAAUUACUGGGGGUAAAGCGGUCGUAGGCGGUAUGUCAAGUCAAGGGUGAAAUCCCCGCGCUCAACGUGGGAACUGCCUUUGAAACUGGCAAACUGGAGUGUGUGAGAGGAUAGUGGAAUUCCAGGUGUAGGAGUGAAAUGCGUAGAUAUCUGGAGGAACAUCAGUGGCGAAGGCGACUAUCUGGCACAUAACUGACGCUGAGGAGCGAAAGCGUGGGUAGCAAACAGGAUUAGAUACCCUUGUAGUC